GUCAUGUAAAGCAGCCAAAUCCAGCAGUCUAUGCCAGAGAUCUGCCAGCAUCUAAAAAGCCAAGUGAUUGUUGUAGAAGAGUAAGUGGCAAACCUGCUAUUUAGCACUGCGU